CGCGGGAUGGAGCAGUUGGCAGCUCGUCGGGCUCAUAACCCGAAGGUCAUAGGUUCAAGUCCUAUUCCCGCUA
rnacentral:tRNA from 1 species